UCUGGGGACCAUACCGGGGGUGAAAACCUCCUUCCCAUUCCGAAUAGGGCAGGGAACCCCCCCAGGGCCGAUGAUACUGCGUCCGCACGGGCGUGGGAAAGUAGGUCGUCCCCAGGU
rnacentral:rRNA from 1 species